rnacentral:rRNA from 1 species
UACGGGGGGAGCAAGCGUUGUUCGGAUUUACUGGGCGUAAAGGGCGCGUAGGCGGCCUCCGCAAGUCAAUUGUGAAAUCUCCGGGCUUAACUCGGAAAGGUCAACUGAUACUGCGGGGCUAGAGUGCGGAAGGGGCAACUGGAAUUCUUGGUGUAGCGGUGAAAUGCGUAGAUAUCAAGUGGAACACCAGUGGCGAAGGCGAGUCCCUGGACAAGACCUGACACUGAGGCACGAAAGCCAGGGGAGCAAACAGG